GACGAACGCUGGCGGCGUGCCUAAUACAUGCAAGUAGAACGCACAGUUUAUACCGUAGCUUGCUACACCAUAGACUGUGAGUUGCGAACGGGUGAGUAACGCGUAGGUAACCUGCCUGGUAGCGGGGGAUAACUAUUGGAAACGAUAGCUAAUACCGCAUAAUAUUAAUUAUUGCAUGAUAAUUAAUUGAAAGGUGCAAUUGCACCACUACCAGAUGGACCUGCGUUGUAUUAGCUAGUAGGUGAGGUAACGGCUCACCUAGGCGACGAUACAUAGCCGACCUGAGAGGGUGAUCGGCCACACUGGGACUGAGACACGGCCCAGACUCCUACGGGAGGCAGCAGUAGGGAAUCUUCGGCAAUGGACGAAAGUCUGACCGAGCAACGCCGCGUGAGUGAAGAAGGUUUUCGGAUCGUAAAGCUCUCUUGUAAGAGAAGAACGGGUGUGAGAGUGGAAAGUUCACACUGUGACGGUAUCUUACCAGAAAGGGACGGCUAACUACGUG
rnacentral:rRNA from 1 species